rnacentral:rRNA from 1 species
GACGAACGCUGGCGGCGUGCUUAACACAUGCAAGUCGAACGGAAAGGCCCUGCUUUUGUGGGGUGCUCGAGUGGCGAACGGGUGAGUAACACGUGAGUAACCUGCCCUUGACUUUGGGAUAACUUCAGGAAACUGGGGCUAAUACCGGAUAGGAGCUCCUGCUGCAUGGAGGGGGUUGGAAAGUUUCGGCGGUUGGGGAUGGACUCGCGGCUUAUCAGCUUGUUGGUGGGGUAGUGGCUUACCAAGGCUUUGACGGGUAGCCGGCCUGAGAGGGUGGCCGGCCACAUUGGGCCUGCGAUACGGCCCAGACUCCUACGGGAGGCAGCAGUGGGGAAUAUUGCACAAUGGGCGGAAGCCUGAUGCAGCAACGCCGCGUGCGGGAUGACGGCCUUCGGGUUGUAAACCGCUUUCGCCUGUGACGAAGCGUGAGUGACGGUAAUGGGUAAAGAAGCACCGGCUAACUACGUG